UACGAAGGGGGCUAGCGUUGCUCGGAAUCACUGGGCGUAAAGCGCACGUAGGCGGCUUUUUAAGUCAGGGGUGAAAUCCUGGAGCUCAACUCCAGAACUGCCUUUGAUACUGGGAAGCUCGAGUCCGGGAGAGGUGAGUGGAACUCCGAGUGUAGAGGUGAAAUUCGUAGAUAUCGCUUGGAACGCCAAAGGUGAAAACAGACAGCUGGGAGUGUGCUGACGCUGAGACACGAAAGCCAGGGGAGCGAACGGG
rnacentral:rRNA from 1 species